GUUUUAUUGAAAUCUAACCUUAAUUUUACUGAUUUUCUCCAAAUCUAAUGAAUCCAUAAUUUCUCCAAGUCUUCCUCCCCAACUCUUCUCUCUUGUCUCAUCUGAUUCUUUCUGCUCCAACUCCUUUUCCCCAAUUGGCAGCAGCAUUGCGACACCGUUUGAGAGCACGAUGGGAGAUAAGUAUGUACCCAAUAUUUAUGGUUUAUGUUUAGCGAAGGAUUCUGGUGUUUCGAAGGUGUCUGUCCAUUUUUAUGGGUUUACGAGAUUGGUGGAGUUGGUCUUUCGAAAGCUUCAAUUCCUGAAUAAUGUCGAACUCGUCUAGCUGAAGGGAUAUAAUUGGGUUCAGAAGUUGUGUGGGCAUGAUAUUGCAAUGACUGAGGAAACCUCACACGCUCAGAGAAAUUCAGAAAGGAGAUUCUAUUGCUAUUCUCAAAAGAAGUGGGAUGAUUGUGGGUUGUGGCAAUGUGUAGAUCAAGAGCUAAGCGCUCACUACAAGUUUUGUUUCAAUAAUAUUAAGAAUGAAAGGGAUAAGUUGGUAUGGCAAGUAAACUGCCGAAGCUUGUUGGAGGACAUGAACAAUGAAAAAAUUUGAGCUAGUUAAAGUUGAGGAACUGGCUGCAUUGAAGCUGAGCUUCGAGGAGACAAAUGACGAGGUUCAAGAUUUGAGGAAACUUAGAAAAGAAUUGGAAUGGAAACUAAAGUGUAUGCAGUUGAUUGUAGUUUUUCGUGUUUUGAUAAAGUGUAUGUAGUAUUGGUGUAGUUGUAGAACCAAUAGGUCAUGUUUGUUAUGUCUUGAUGAUGAGGAGUAAGGAUCUCAUCAGCACAAAACCUACGAACAUAUAUGAGUUUAUAUGAUUAAAGUAACAUCACAAACUUGUAGUGACCACAAGGUAAUACACCAGAGGAGAGCCUGCGCAGCCUCGAAGUAUCCUGCGCUGACUUCCAGAGGAGAGACCAAGCUAUGUUAAGGUGCCGUCUGCGCAGACGGCCACACAACAUUAUCACUAACUAGGGAUCAAAAAGACAACAUCAUGUCACAAGCUCCAAAUACAAAAGAUGAGAAUAAAAAAAGACGACGCCUGCGCAGGAGAAUACGACACCAGACUGCGCUGUCAUGAUGAGCGCAUAACAUUUGUAAAGCUGCGAAGUUAGUUAAUAAAGAAUAUUCUUCCGAUAAUGACCUAGGUACGUAUUCUAGCAUGUGGAGUACGUGAAUUAGAGUGGAAAGUCUAAUGUGCCCUUUGCCCUUGUAAAUUCCUAUAAAUACUCUUUGUAACCUUCUUCACAAGGCAAGUUACAUGAAAUAGAAUUAUAGAAGAGUUUUGAGUUCUCUGCAA